rnacentral:rRNA from 1 species
UUAAACGGCCGCGGUAUUUUGACCGUGCAAAGGUAGCGCAAUCACUUGUCUUUUAAAUGAAGACCUGUAUGAAUGGUGAAACGAGGGCUUAACUGUCUCCCCCCUCUAGUCAAUGAAAUUGAUCUACCCGUGCAGAAGCGGGUAUAAUUAUACAAGACGAGAAGACCCUAUGGAGCUUAAGACAAAAAACCAACUAUGUCAAAAUUCACAAAAAAUGAUAAUAAACCAAAUAGCACUGAUCCUAGUCUUCGGUUGGGGUGACCGCGGGAAAAAACAAAGCUCCCAUGCGGAAGGGGGAAGCCCCCUAAAAAUAAGAAAGACAUUUCUAAGGCACAGAACAUCUGACCACCGAGAUCCGGCUAAAUGCCGAUCAACGAACCAAGUUACCCUAGGGAUAACAGCGCAAUCCCCUUCCAGAGUCCAUAUCGACAAGGGGGUUUACGACCUCGAUGUUGGAUCAGGACAUCCUAAUGGUGCAGCCGCUAUUAAGGGUUCGUUUG